AUUGUCGAUACCUGCCCAGCAGAGAGACCCGUGAACACGUUGCUCCGUGAUCGGGGUGGGGUGCGGGUGGCUCACACUGAGCCCCCUGCAUACCCUUCACCCCUUUAUGGUCGGUCGGUCCCUGUGGCCUCUGACCCAACACAACAAUCGGCGCGGUUGGCGCCAAGGAACUCACAACGGAACGGGUGUGGCACCGCCGUGACUUGUGCAUGGUGUGUGCCGUCCCAAAAUCCGAAUCUUAUUAACGACUCUCGGCAACGGAUAUCUCGGCUCUCGCAUCGAUGAAGAACGUAGCGAAAUGCGAUACUUGGUGUGAAUUGCAGAAUCCCGUGAACCAUCGAGUCUUUGAACGCAAGUUGCGCCCUAGGCCAUCGGGCCGAGGGCACGUCUGCCUGGGCGUCACGCAUCGCGUCGCCCUCCCUCGAACCCCCUUGUGGCGGUCGAGUGCGGAGCGGAGAUUGGCCCCCCAUUCCCCCUGUUUGGGGUGUGGUCGGCCUAAAAGGAAUGGCCCCCGUGUGACGAGCACCACGACGAGAGGUGGUUGUAUCCAACUCUGCUAGACGUCACGUGCUUCGUCUCCGUGGGCUGUCUACGGAACCCUCUGAUCAUACGACUGCGACCCCAGGUCAGGCGGGGCUACCCGCUGAGUUU
rnacentral:rRNA from 1 species